AUUCUUAUGCUCAGUUGUAUAGAGUUUGUCAGAAAAUUUUACAUUCUAAUUGUAUGUGUAUUCCAUUAGCCAUCUAAACUGUUAUUUCUUGCAGUUUUUAAAGAUGGCAGAAGCUACAGGAGAAGUAAAAUCCCUGGAAUACUAGAUUUCUAAUGUUUGAAACCAACAACUGAAUCUUGGUGAAAUGUCAGAGCUGGCAUUUUGCUGAACAGAAAUCUGUUUUCUGAAGUGUGCCUCAGUUUCCCUUAAGCCAGCAUACCACACAUGUAAGAGUUUGUAAGACUAUUGGGCAACAUGCAAUGUCCAGAUUUUUGUGGUUAUAUAGUCUUUGCUAAUUCCCCUUCCAUUUUAUGCUGACCUCAGUCCUGCAGACCUUUGCAACUUAAUUCUACUUACUUAAGCUGAG